rnacentral:rRNA from 1 species
GCCAGACUCCUACGGGAGGCAGCAGUGGGGAAUAUUGCACAAUGGGGGAAACCCUGAUGCAGCAACGCCGCGUGAGUGAAGAAGUCAUUCGUGAUGUAAAGCUCUAUCAGCAGGGAAGAAAAUGACGGUACCUGAGUAAGAAGCCCCAGCUAACUACGUGCCAGCAGCCGCGGUAAUACGUAGGUGGCGAGCGUUGUCCGGAAUUACUGGGUGUAAAGGGAGCGUAGGCGGGAGAGCAAGUCGACUGUGAAAUCUAUGGGCUUAACCCGUAGCUGCGAUCGAAACUGUUCAUCUUGAGUGAAGUAGAGGCAGGCGGAAUUCCUAGUGUAGCGGUGAAAUGCGUAAAUAUUAGGAGGAACACCAGUGGCGAAGGCGGCCUGCUGGGCUUUAACUGACGCUGAGGCUCGAAAGCGUGGGUAGCAAACAGGAUUAGAUACCCUGGUA